GGGGAUGGGCAUUGCUUAGUUGCCGCAACUGAAUUCCUUGAUUUAUAGGAUGUAGCUUACUUUGUGGUUGCGACUUGACAAAAGAAAAUAUAACUCCAUUUAUUCUGGAGGUACUGGUCCUCUGAGUCACAAAAGCACUGCUUGAAACCUUGCUUGCUUUAAGUGCCAUGGCAAACAUCAAUACAAGAAUAAAAUGAUACCAGCCAGCAUUGCCCUUAUAACAGCUCAAAGCUGAAGAGAGGUAGAAGUUGGAAGUGGAGAUUGGUCGUACGAUUUAUGGAAGUUUGGUGGGGUUGCCUUUUAGGCCCCACGAAAACUGGAAUAAAAAAUUGCAGCCACAAGCAAAGGCUGUGGCCUAGUGAAGGCCAACACCAACAAACAACCACCGGUGAAAAUAUU
rnacentral:misc_RNA from 1 species